rnacentral:rRNA from 1 species
AUUGAACGCUGGCGGCAUGCCUUACACAUGCAAGUCGAACGGUAACAGGUCUUCGGAUGCUGACGAGUGGCGAACGGGUGAGUAAUACAUCGGAACGUGCCCGAGAGUGGGGGAUAACGAGGCGAAAGCUUUGCUAAUACCGCAUACGAUCUCAGGAUGAAAGCAGGGGACCGCAAGGCCUUGCGCUCACGGAGCGGCCGAUGGCCGAUUAGGUAGUUGGUGGGAUGAAAGCUUACCAAGUAGACGAUCUGUAGCUGGUCUGAGAGGACGACCAGCCAGACUGGGACUGAGACACGGCCCAGACUCCUACGGGAGGCAGCAGUGGGGAAUUUUGGACAAUGGGCGCAAGCCUGAUCCAGCCAUGCCGCGUGCAGGAUGAAGGCCUUCGGGUUGUAAACUGCUUUGGUACGGAACGAAAAGACUCUGGUUAAUACCUGGGGUCCAUGACGGUACCGUAAGAAUAAGCACCGGCUAACUACGUGCCAGCAGCCGCAGUAACAC